rnacentral:rRNA from 1 species
CCCUUAGAUGUUCUGGGCCGCACGCGCGCUACACUGAUGCAUUCAACGAGUCUAAAACCUGCUCUGAUAGGGGUGGGUAAUCUUUUGAAUGUGCAUCGUGUUUGGGAUAGAUGAUUGCAAUUUUUCAUCUUCAACGAGGAAUGCCUAGUAAACGCAAGUCAUCAGCUUGCAUUGAUUACGUCCCUGCCCUUUGUACACACCGCCCGUCGCUCCUACCGAUUGAAUGAUCCGAUGAAUAUCAUGGAUUGAGGAUGCAAGUAGGUUAGCCUAUCUUCAUCUUCGAGAAGUGAAGUAAAUCUUAUCAUUUAGAGGAAGGAGAAGUCGUAACA